rnacentral:rRNA from 1 species
UACAGGGGGUGCAAACGUUGCUCGGCAUUAUUGGGCGUAAAGCGCGCGUAGGCGGCCACUUAAGUCGGAUGUGAAAGCCCCUGGCUCAACUGGGGAAGUGCACCCGAAACUGAAUGGCUUGAAUGCAAAAGAGGGUCGCGGAAUUCCCGGUGUAGAGGUGAAAUUCGUAGAUAUCGGGUGGAACACCUGCGGCGAAGGCGGGUUGCUGGGCCGACACUGACGCUGAGGCGCGAAAGCUAGGGGAGCGAACAGG